UCGAACGGAGCGCCGGACACGGACUAUUUCGGUCCUAAGCGUGCGGAGGCUUAGUGGCGGACGGGUGAGUAACGCGUGGAUAACCUGCCGCAUACCGGGGGAUAACAUCUGGAAACAGCUGCUAAUACCGCAUAUGCCCGCAGUGCUGCAUGGCACAGCGGGGAGAACUCCGGUGGUAUGCGAUGGGUCCGCGUCUGAUUAGGCAGUUGGCGGGGUAACGGCCCACCAAACCGACGAUCAGUAGCCGGCCUGAGAGGGCGGACGGCCACACUGGGACUGAGACACGGCCCAGACUCCUGCGGGAGGCAGCAGUGGGGAAUAUUGCACAAUGGGGGAAACCCUGAUGCAGCGACGCCGCGUGAAGGAAGAAGUAUCUCGGUAUGUAAACUUCUAUCAUCAGGGAAGAAAACAGACGGUACCUGACUAAGAAGCCCCGGCUAACUACGUGCCAGCAGCCGCGGUAAUACGUAGGGGGCAAGCGUUAUCCGGAUUUACUGGGUGUAAAGGGGGCGCAGACGGCCAUGGCAAGCCCGGUGUGAAAGGCAGGGGCAUAACCCCUGGACUGCACUGGGAACUGUCAGGCUGGAGUGCCGGAGGGGUAAGCGGAAUUCCUGGUGUAGCGGUGAAAUGCGUAGAUUUCUGGAGGAACACCGGCGGCGAAGGCGGCUUACUGGACGGCAACUGACGUUGAGGCCCGAAAG
rnacentral:rRNA from 1 species